rnacentral:rRNA from 1 species
UACGUUGGGGGCAAGCGUUGUCCGGAUUUAUUGGGCGUAAAGAGCGUGUAGGCGGCCAGACAGGUCAGCUGUGAAAACUCGAGGCUCAACCUCGAGACGUCGGUUGAAACCGUCUGGCUAGAGUCCGGAAGAGGAGAGUGGAAUUCCCGGUGUAGCGGUGAAAUGCGCAGAUAUCGGGAAGAACACCCGUGGCGAAGGCGGCUCUCUGGGACGGUACUGACGCUGAGACGCGAAAGCGUGGGGAGCGAACAGG